AUGCUACUCCCUGCCCUCCUCUUUGGGAUGGCGUGGGCCCUGGCUGACGGGCGGUGGUGUGAGUGGACAGAGACCAUCCGUGUGGAGGAGGAAGUGGCACCCCGUCAGGAGGACCUGGUACCCUGUGCCAGCCUCGACCAUUACAGCCGCCUGGGCUGGCGGCUGGACCUGCCCUGGAGUGGCCGCUCGGGGCUUACCCGGUCCCCAGCGCCUGGGCUCUGUCCUAUCUACAAACCUCCAGAAACCCGGCCUGCCAAGUGGAACCGGACAGUGAGGACUUGUUGCCCAGGCUGGGGGGGCGCCCACUGCACUGAGGCCCUUGCCAAAGCCAGUCCUGAAGGCCACUGCUUUGCCAUGUGGCAGUGCCAGCUACAGGCAGGCUCAGCUAAUGCCUCAGCAGGAAGCCUGGAGGAGUGCUGCGCCCGGCCCUGGGGACAAAGCUGGUGGGAUGGCAGCUCCCAGGCCUGCCGCAGCUGCUCCAGCCGACACCUGCCAGGCAGUGCCUCUUCUCCAGCCCUCCUGCAGCCCCUGGCAGGGGCUGUGGGCCAGCUCUGGAGCCAGCACCAGCGUCCCUCGGCCACCUGUGCCUCCUGGUCGGGCUUCCACUACCGCACCUUUGAUGGCCGCCACUAUCACUUCCUGGGCCGCUGCACCUACCUGCUGGCGGGUGCUGCGGACUCCACCUGGGCUGUCCACCUAACACCCGGGGACCGCUGCCCCCAGCCUGGACACUGUCAGCGGGUCCAGGUGACUAUGGGACCCGAGGAGGUGCUGAUCCAGGCUGGAAAUGUGUCUGUGAAGGGGCAGCUGGUACCUGAAGGGCAGUCUUGGCUGCUCCACGGGCUGAGCCUGCAAUGGCUGGGGGACUGGCUGGUGCUGUCAGGAGGCCUGGGGGUCGUGGUGCGGCUGGACAGGACUGGCUCCAUCUCCAUCUCUGUGGACCACGAGCUCUGGGGACAGACACAAGGCCUCUGUGGGCUCUACAAUGGCUGGCCAGAGGAUGACUUCAUGGAGCCAGGCGGAGGGCUGGCCAUGUUAGCAGCCACCUUUGGAAAUUCCUGGAGGCUCCCUGGCUCGGAGUCUGGGUGUCUGGAUGCAGUGGAGGUGGCCCAGGGCUGUGACAGCCCCCUGGGGCUCAUAGACGCAGAUGUAGAACCUGGCCACCUGCGGGCUGAAGCCCAGGACGUGUGCCAUCAGCUGCUGGAAGGUCCAUUCGGGCAGUGCCAUGCCCAGGUUUCCCCUGCUGAGUACCACGAGGCCUGUCUCUUUGCCUACUGCGCAGGGGCCAUGGCAGGCAGUGGGCAAGAGGGGCGGCAGCAGGCUGUUUGUGCCACCUUUGCCAGCUAUGUCCAGGCCUGUGCCAGGCGGCACAUCCACAUUCGCUGGAGGAAGCCUGGCUUCUGCGAGCGCCUGUGCCCCGGGGGCCAGCUCUACUCCGACUGCGUCUCCCUCUGCCCACCCAGCUGCGAGGCGGUGGGUCAGGGAGAGGAGGAGUCCUGCAGGGAAGAGUGUGUGAGUGGCUGUGAGUGCCCGCGAGGCCUCUUCUGGAAUGGCACCCUCUGUGUGCCUGCUGCCCACUGCCCCUGCUACUACUGCCGCCAGCGCUAUGUACCCGGUGACACCGUGCGCCAGCUGUGUAACCCCUGCGUGUGCAGGGAUGGCCGCUGGCACUGUGCCCAGGCACUGUGCCCCGCCGAGUGUGCAGUGGGUGGGGACGGGCACUACCUCACCUUCGAUGGGCGGAGCUACUCCUUCUGGGGUGGUCAAGGUUGCCGCUACAGCCUGGUGCAGGACUAUGUGAAGGGACAGCUACUGAUCCUACUGGAGCAUGGGGCCUGCGACGCUGGGAGCUGCCUGCACGCCAUCUCCGUCUCCCUGGAGGACACCCACAUCCAGCUCAGGGACUCAGGAGCUGUGCUGGUCAAUGGGCAGGAUGUGGGCUUGCCCUGGAUUGGCGCUGAGGGCCUCAGUGUGCGCCGAGCUUCCUCUGCCUUUCUGCUGCUGCGCUGGCCUGGGGCCCAGGUGCUCUGGGGACUGUCUGACCCUGUAGCCUACAUCACCCUGGACCCCCGCCAUGCCCACCAGGUGCAGGGUCUGUGUGGCACCUUCACCCAGAACCAGCAGGACGACUUCCUGACACCAGCCGGAGAUGUGGAAACUAGCAUUGCUGCCUUUGCUAGCAAGUUCCAGGUGGCCGGCAAGGGAAGAUGCCCCUCUGAGGACAGUGCCCUGCUGUCUCCCUGCACCACCCACUCCCAGCGCCACGCCUUCGCAGAGGCGGCCUGUGCCAUCCUGCACAGCUCUGUCUUCCAGGAAUGCCACAGGCUGGUGGACAAAGAGCCAUUCUAUCUGCGCUGCCUGGCAGCCGUGUGUGGCUGUGAUCCCGGCAGUGACUGCCUGUGCCCGGUGCUGUCUGCCUAUGCGCGUCGCUGUGCCCAGGAAGGUGCCUCACCUCCCUGGAGGAACCAGACCCUCUGCCCUGUUAUGUGUCCUGGUGGCCAGGAGUACCGAGAGUGUGCCCCAGCAUGCGGUCAACACUGCGGGAAACCAGAGGACUGUGGAGAGCUGGGCAGCUGUGUGGCUGGUUGUAACUGUCCUCUGGGGCUGCUGUGGGACCCUGAGGGCCAGUGUGUGCCCCCCAGCUUGUGCCCCUGCCAGCUCGGAGCCCGUCGCUAUGCCCCUGGCAGUGCCACCAUGAAGGAGUGCAACCGCUGCAUCUGCCAGGAAAGGGGCCUCUGGAAUUGCACGGCUCGCCACUGCCCUUCACAGGGGCAUUCUGCCCCAGGGAGCUUGUCUAUGCCCCUGGUGCCUGUCUCCUCACCUGUGACAGCCCCAGCGCCAAUCACUCCUGCCCUGCAGGCAGUACUGAUGGCUGUGUCUGUCCACCAGGCACGGUGCUGCUGGACGAGCGCUGUGUGCCUCCUGACCUCUGUCCCUGCCGUCACAGUGGGCAGUGGUACCUGCCCAACGCCACCAUCCAGGAAGACUGCAACGUUUGCGUGUGCCGGGGCCGGCAGUGGCACUGCACAGGCCAGCGGCGCAGUGGGCGGUGCCAGGCAUCAGGCGCCCCCCACUAUGUGACAUUUGACGGACUGGCCUUCACCUAUCCUGGGGCCUGCGAGUAUCUGCUGGUGCGAGAGGCCAGUGGCCUAUUCACAGUCUCUGCCCAGAACCUGCCCUGUGGGGCCAGCGGUCUCACCUGCACCAAAGCGCUGGCCGUGCGUCUGGAGGGCACUGUUGUGCACAUGCUCAGAGGCCGGGCAGUGACGGUGAAUGGGGUGAGCGUGACGCCCCCCAAGGUCUACACAGGCCCUGGGCUGAGCCUGCGUCGUGCUGGCCUCUUCCUGCUGCUCUCGACCCACCUGGGCCUCACCCUGCUCUGGGAUGGAGGGACUCGGGUCCUGGUGCAACUGUCCCCUCAGUUCCGUGGUCGCGUGGCUGGGCUGUGUGGUGACUUUGAUGGAGAUGCCAGUAAUGAUCUGCGGAGCCGCCAGGGCGUCCUGGAGCCCACAGCUGAACUGGCUGCCCACUCCUGGCGCCUCAGCCCCCUCUGCCCUGAGCCAGGAGACCUGCCACACCCCUGCACGAUGAACACACACCGGGCUGGUUGGGCUCGGGCCCGCUGUGGGGCGCUGCUGCAGCCGCUCUUCACAUUAUGCCACGCGGAGGUCCCCCCGCAGCAGCACUAUGAGUGGUGCCUGUAUGACGCCUGCGGCUGCGACUCGGGGGGUGACUGUGAGUGCCUCUGCUCGGCCAUUGCCACCUAUGCAGAUGAGUGUGCCCGGCAUGGGCACCACGUGCGCUGGCGUAGCCAGGAGCUCUGCUCCCUGCAGUGUGAAGGGGGACAGGUAUAUGAGGCCUGUGGCCCCACGUGUCCCCCCACCUGCCAUGAGCAGCAUCCUGAGCCCGGGUGGCACUGCCAGGUGGUGGCCUGUGUGGAGGGCUGCUUCUGCCCCGAGGGGACUCUGCUGCACGGAGGAGCCUGCUUGGAGCCAGCUUCCUGCCCCUGUGAGUGGGGCCGCAACUCCUUCCCGCCGGGGUCUGUGCUGCAAAAGGACUGCGGGAACUGCACGUGCCAGGAAGGUCAAUGGCAUUGUGGGGGUGACGGUGGCCACUGUGAGGAGCUUGUGCCUGCCUGUGCAGAGGGAGAGGCCCUGUGCCAAGAGAAUGGGCACUGUGUGCCCCAUGGGUGGCUUUGUGACAACCAGGACGACUGUGGCGAUGGCUCUGAUGAGGAGGGUUGUGCCGCCCCAGGCUGUGGGGAGGGGCAGAUGACUUGCAGCUCCGGCCACUGCCUGCCCCUGGCCCUGCUCUGUGACCGCCAGGAUGACUGUGGAGAUGGCACGGAUGAGCCGAGCUAUCCGUGCCCCCAGGGCUUGCUGGCCUGUGCCGAUGGACGCUGCCUGCCGCCGGCCCUGCUCUGCGAUGGGCAUCCUGACUGUCUGGAUGCCGCCGACGAGGAGUCCUGUCUGGGGCAGGUGACCUGCGUCCCCGGGGAGGUGUCCUGUGUUGAUGGCACCUGCCUGGGGGCCAUCCAGCUGUGUGACGGAGUCUGGGACUGCCCAGAUGGAGCCGAUGAGGGGCCGGGACACUGCCCCCUACCUUCUCUGCCCACACCUCCUGCCAGCACCUUGCCUGGCCCCUCCCCAGGCUCCCUGGACACUGCGUCAAGUCCCCUGGCCAGCGCCAGCCCUGCGCCACCCUGCGGCCCCUUCGAGUUUCGGUGCGGCAGCGGCGAGUGCACCCCGCGGGGCUGGCGCUGCGACCAGGAGGAAGACUGCGCCGACGGCAGCGACGAGCGCGGCUGCGGAGGGCCCUGCGCGCCGCACCACGCGCCCUGCGCCCGCGGCCCUCACUGCGUGUCCCCCGAGCAGCUGUGCGACGGCGUGCGGCAGUGUCCCGACGGCUCGGACGAGGGCCCCGACGCCUGCGUUGAGGCUCCCGCGCCCCCGGCCAUGCGCGGCCCCCCUGGCCAAGCCGGCGGGCCCACCUCUUCCCGAGCGCCAUCCCCACCUUCGCCUCCUGAGGCACAGGGAGAGGGCAGGAAGGGACAGGAGCGGAGCAGGACACAUCUCACAGUGCCCGCAGGCUCCACCCAGCUGCCUCUGUGCCCUGGCCUCUUUCCCUGUGGUGUGGCUCCGGGGCUGUGCCUGACCCCUGAGCAGCUCUGUGAUGGGAUCCCAGACUGUCCCCAGGGCGAGGACGAGCUGGACUGCGGGGGGCUGCCAGCCCUGGGAGGCCCCAACAGGACAGGGCUUCCCUGCCCAGAAUACACCUGCCCCAAUGGCACCUGCAUAGGCUUCCAGCUGGUGUGUGAUGGGCAGCCUGACUGUGGAAGGCCAGGGCAGGUGGGCCCCUCCCCAGAAGAGCAGGGUUGUGGGGCCUGGGGCCCCUGGAGCCCAUGGGGGCCCUGCAGCCGGACGUGUGGGCCCUGGGGCCAGGGCCGGAGCCGCCGCUGCUCCCCACUCGGCCUCCUGGUGCUACAGAACUGCCCAGGGCCUGAGCACCAGUCUCAGGCCUGCUUCACGGCAGCCUGCCCAGUGGACGGUGAAUGGAGCACCUGGUCCCCCUGGUCUGUGUGCUCUGAGCCGUGCAGGGGCACCAUGACGCGGCAACGGCAGUGCCACUCACCCCAGAAUGGGGGCCGCACCUGUGCUGCACUGCCCGGAGGCCUGCACAGCACCCGCCAGACCAAGCCUUGCCCUCAGGACGGCUGCCCCAAUGCCACUUGCUCUGGGGAGCUGAUGUUCCAGCCCUGUGCCCCCUGCCCACUGACCUGUGAUGACAUCUCUGGCCAGGUCACGUGCCCACCUGAUUGGCCCUGCGGCAGCCCGGGCUGCUGGUGCCCAGAAGGGCAGGUGCUGGGCAGCGAGGGGUGGUGUGUGUGGCCCCGGCAGUGCCCCUGCCUGGUGGACGGUGCCCGCUACUGGCCUGGGCAACGCAUCAAGGCCGACUGCCAGCUCUGCAUCUGCCAAGACGGACGGCCCCGACGCUGCCGACUCAACCCGGACUGCGCUGUGGACUGUGGCUGGUCCUCCUGGUCACCCUGGGCCAAGUGCCUGGGCCCCUGUGGAAGCCAGAGCAUCCAGUGGUCCUUCCGGAGCUCCAACAACCCCCGCCCCUCCGGCCGAGGUCGCCAGUGCCGUGGCAUCCACCGCAAGGCACGCAGGUGCCAGACGGAGCCCUGUGAGGGGUGUGAGCAUCAGGGCCAGGUCCACCGUGUCGGGGAACGCUGGCAUGGGGGCCCCUGCAGGGUGUGCCAGUGUCUGCACAACCUCACCGCACACUGCUCACCCUACUGCCCGCUCGGCAGCUGCCCCCAGGGCUGGGUCUUGGUGGAGGGGACGGGAGAAUCAUGCUGCCACUGUGCCCUACCUGGAGAGAACCAGACGGUCCAGCCCAUGGCCACUCCUGCCGCAGCUCCGGCUCCCAGUCCCCAGAUCAGAUUCCCUUUGGCCACUUACAUUCUGCCUCCGUCAGGAGACCCCUGCUAUUCUCCCCUGGGGCUGGCCGGACUGGCUGAGGGGAGUCUGCAUGCAUCGUCCCAGCAGCUGGAACACCCCACCCAGGCUGCCCUCCUGGGGGCUCCCACCCAGGGGCCCAGCCCUCAGGGAUGGCACGCUGGAGGGGAUGCUUAUGCCAAGUGGCACACUCGGCCCCAUUACCUGCAGCUGGACCUGCUUCAGCCUCGGAACCUCACUGGCAUCCUAGUGCCGGAGACUGGCUCCUCCAACGCAUAUGCCAGCAGCUUCUCACUCCAGUUCAGCAGCAAUGGUCUACACUGGCAUGACUAUCGUGACCUCCUGCCUGGCAUCUUGCCCCUGCCCAAGCUUUUCCCCAGAAACUGGGAUGACCUGGACCCUGCCGUAUGGACUUUCGGCCGCAUGGUGCAGGCGAGGUUUGUCAGGGUGUGGCCCCACGAUGUCCACCACAGCGAUGUCCCCCUGCAGGUGGAGCUGCUGGGCUGCGAGCCAGGGUCCCCACCGGCACCUCUGUGCCCAGGGGUUGGACUCCGCUGUGCCAGUGGUGAGUGUGUCCUGAGAGGGGGCCCUUGUGACGGUGUUCUGGACUGCGAGGAUGGCUCGGAUGAGGAGGGCUGUGUGUUGCUGCCUGAGGGCACUGGCAGAUUCCAUUCCACAGCCAAGACCCUGGCCCUCUCCUCUGCCCAGCCGGGGCAGCUGCUGCACUGGCCCAGGGAGGGCCUGGCAGAGACUGAGCACUGGCCCCCUGGGCAGGAAUCCCCCACGUCCCCGACAGAGACAAGGCCCGUGAGUCCUGGCCCAGCCUCCGGGGUGCCUCACCAUGGGGAAUCUGUGCAGAUGGUGACCACCACCCCCAUACCCCAGAUGGAGGCCAGGACCCUGCCACCAGGUAUGGCAGCUGUGACGGUGGUGCCCCCACACCCUGUGACUCCAGCGACCCCUGCUGGCCAGAGCGUCGCCCCAGGACCCUUCCCACCUGUGCAGUGUGGCCCCGGCCAGACGCCCUGUGAGGUGCUGGGCUGCGUGGAACAGGCGCAGGUGUGUGAUGGCAGGGAGGAUUGCCUCGACGGCUCCGACGAGAGGCACUGCGCCAGGAAUCUACUUAUGUGGCUCCCUUCUCUCCCUGCCUUGUGGGCAGCGAGCACUGUGCCCUUCAUGAUGCCUACCAUGGCCCUGCCUGGGCUUCCAGCCUCAAGGGCCCUCUGUUCCCCGAGCCAGCUGAGCUGUGGCAGCGGGGAGUGUCUGUCUGCUGAGCGGCGCUGUGACCUGCGGCCUGACUGCCAGGAUGGCUCGGACGAGGAUGGCUGUGUGGACUGCGUGCUGGCCCCCUGGUCUGUCUGGAGCAGCUGCAGCCGCAGCUGUGGCCUGGGCCUCACCUUCCAGCGCCAGGAGCUGCUGCGGCCUCCUCUGCCAGGGGGCAGCUGCCCGCGUGACCGGUUCCGAAGCCAGUCCUGCUUUGUGCAGGCCUGCCCAGUGGCUGGGGCAUGGGCCAUGUGGGAGGCCUGGGGACCCUGCAGCGUCUCCUGCGGGGGUGGCCAUCAGAGUCGCCAGAGAAGCUGUGUGGACCCCCCACCCAAGAAUGGCGGUGCCCCCUGCCCCGGGGCCUCCCAAGAGAGGGCACCCUGCGGCUUGCAGCCCUGCUCAGGUGGCACAGACUGCGAGCUGGGCCGUGUGUAUGUGAGUGCCGAUCUGUGCCAGAAGGGGCUGGUGCCCCCAUGCCCACCCUCCUGCCUGGAUCCCAAGGCCAACAGAAGCUGCAGUGGGCAUUGUGUGGAAGGAUGCCGCUGUCCCCCGGGGCUCCUUCUGCAUGACACUCGCUGCCUGCCCCUCUCUGAGUGCCCCUGCCUGGUGGGCGAAGAGCUGAAGUGGCCAGGGGUGUCCUUCCUCCUGGGCAACUGCAGCCAAUGCGUGUGUGAGAAGGGGGAGUUGCUGUGCCAACCAGGGGGCUGCCCCCUGCCCUGCGGCUGGUCAGCCUGGUCCUCCUGGGCUCCCUGCGACCGCUCCUGUGGCUCUGGAGUGAGGGCCAGGUUCAGGUCUCCCUCCAACCCUCCGGCAGCCUGGGGGGGUGCCCCGUGUGAAGGUGACCGGCAGGAACUGCAGGGCUGCCACACAGUGUGUGGGACAGAGGUGUUCGGCUGGACGCCCUGGACUUCCUGGUCCUCCUGCUCCCAAAGCUGCCUUGCCCCGGGAGGGGGCCCUGGCUGGCGCAGUCGUUCCCGACUCUGCCCCAGCCCUGGGGAUUCAUCCUGCCCAGGAGAUGCCACCCAGGAGGAGCCCUGCAGCCCCCCUGUAUGCCCAGUGCCAAGCAUCUGGGGUCUGUGGGCUCCCUGGUCCACUUGCUCAGCCCCCUGUGAUGGAGGCAUCCAGACACGUGGGCGCAGCUGCUCCAGCUUGGCUCCAGGGGACACCACGUGCCCAGGACCCCACAGUCAGACCAGGGACUGCAACACGCAGCCCUGCACAGCCCAGUGCCCAGAGAACAUGUUGUUCCGCUCAGCAGAGCAGUGUCACCAGGAGGGGGGUCCUUGCCCUCGGCUAUGCCUGACGCAGGGCCCCGGGAUAGAUAGAGUGUACGGGCUUCUGCGCCCCCGGCUGCACCUGCCCCCCUGGUCUUUUCCUGCACAAUGCUAGCUGCCUGCCCCGCAGCCAGUGCCCCUGCCAGCUGCACGGGCAGCUCUAUGCAUCAGGAGCAAUGGCUCGCCUGGACUCCUGCAACAACUGCACCUGUGUCUCUGGUAAGAUGGCAUGCACCUCGGAGCGCUGCCCAGUGGCCUGUGGCUGGAGUCCCUGGACCCUGUGGAGUCUCUGUAGCUGCAGCUGCAACGUGGGCAUUCGGCGCCGCUUCCGGGCAGGCACUGCACCCCCAGCUGCCUUUGGGGGUGCUGAGUGCCAAGGCCCCACCAUGGAGGCUGAAUUCUGCAGCCUGCGGCCAUGUCCAGGUCCUGGUGGGGAGUGGGGCCCUUGGUCUCCGUGCUCCGUGCCCUGUGGUGGUGGCUACAGGAACCGCACCCGAGGCAGCAGCUGCGCAGCCUCAUGGAGUUUUCCACCUGUGGCCUGCAGCCCUGCGCAGGGCCAGUGCCUGGCAUGUGUCCCAGGGACAAGCAGUGGCUGGACUGUGCCCAGGGCCCUGCCUCUUGUGCAGAGCUCAGCGCCCCAAGAGGGACUAACCAGACCUGCCACCCUGGCUGCCACUGCCCCUCUGGGAUGCUUCUGCUGAACAACGUGUGUGUGCCCACCCAGGACUGCCCCUGUGCCCACGAGGGGCACCUCUACCCCCCGGGCAGCACUGUGGUUCGUCCAUGUGAAAACUGCUCCUGUGUCUCCGGGCUCAUCGCCAACUGCAGCUCCUGGCCUUGUGCGGAGGGAGCUGGGGGAUGGGGUCCAUGGGGGCCCUGGUCCCACUGUAGCCGGAGCUGUGGGGGAGGCCUGCGGAGCCGGACCCGGGCCUGUGACCAGCCCCCACCCCAGGGCCUGGGGGAUUACUGCGAGGGGCCACGGGCACAGGGGGAGGUCUGCCAGGCUCUGCCCUGCCCAGUGACCAACUGCACUGCCAUUGAAGGGGCCGAGUAUAGCCCCUGUGGCCCUCCGUGCCCUCGCUCCUGUGAUGACCUAGUGCACUGCGUGUGGCGCUGCCAGCCUGGCUGCUACUGCCCACCAGGCCAGGUACUGAGUUCCAACGGGGCCAUCUGCGUGCAGCCGGGUCACUGCAGCUGCCUGGACCUGCUGACCGGGCAGCGGCACCAUCCGGGUGCUCGGCUGGCAAGGCCUGACGGCUGCAACCACUGCACCUGCCUGGAGGGGAGGCUGAACUGCACAGACCUGCCCUGCCCAGUGCCCGGAGGCUGGUGCCCGUGGUCGGAGUGGACAAUGUGCUCCCAGCCCUGCAGGGGCCAGACCAGGAGCCGCUCCAGGGCCUGUGCCUGCCCCACUCCUCAGCACGGUGGUGCCCCGUGCACUGGAGAGGCUGGGGAGGCAGGGGCCCAGCAUCAGAGGGAGGCCUGCCCCAGCUACGCCACGUGCCCAGUGGACGGAGCCUGGGGCCCAUGGGGGCCAUGGUCUCCCUGCGACAUGUGCUUGGGGCAGUCCCACCGGAGCCGGGCGUGCAGCCGGCCCCCCACCCCUGAGGGAGGGAGGCCCUGCCCUGGGAACCACACGCAGAGUCGCCCUUGCCAGGAAAAUUCCACCCAGUGCACAGACUGCGGGGGUGGCCAGAGUCUGCAUCCCUGUGGGCAGCCCUGCCCCCGCUCCUGCCAGGACCUGUCCCCUGGGAGUGUGUGCCAGCCAGGCUCUGUGGGCUGCCAGCCCACUUGUGGGUGCCCCCUGGGCCAGCUCUCCCAGGACGGGCUGUGCGUGCCCCCAGCCCACUGCCGCUGCCAGUACCAGCCUGGAGCCAUGGGGAUCCCUGAGAACCAGAGCCGCUCAGCAGGGUCUAGGUUUAGCUCCUGGGAGAGCCUGGAACCCGGAGAGGUGGUCACUGGGCCAUGUGACAACUGCACCUGUGUGGCAGGCAUUCUGCAAUGCCAGGAGGUGCCUGACUGCCCGGACCCUGGGGUGUGGAGCUCUUGGGGCCCUUGGGAAGACUGCAGUGUUUCGUGUGGGGGCGGGGAGCAGCUGCGCUCCCGGCGCUGUGCUCGUCCUCCCUGCCCAGGGCCUGCCCGCCAGAGCCGCACAUGCAGCACACAGGUCUGCAGAGAGGCAGGCUGCCCGGCUGGCCGCCUGUACCGUGAAUGCCAGCCCGGCGAGGGAUGCCCCUUCUCCUGCGCCCACGUCACGCAGCAGGUGGGCUGCUUCUCUGAGGGCUGCGAGGAGGGCUGCCACUGCCCCGAGGGCACCUUCCAGCACCGCCUGGCCUGUGUGCAGGAGUGCCCUUGUGUGCUGACAGCCUGGCUGCUGCAGGAGCUGGGAGCCACCAUAGGUGACCCUGGUCAGCCCCUCGGGCCUGGAGAUGAGCUGGACUCAGGCCAGACACUUCGUACAAGCUGUGGCAACUGCUCGUGUGCACACGGGAAGCUGUCUUGCUCCCUGGACGACUGCUUCGAGGCCGAUGGUGGUUUCGGUCCCUGGAGCCCGUGGGGCCCGUGCUCCCGCUCCUGUGGAGGGCUGGGCACCCGUACCCGCAGCCGCCAGUGUGUGCUCACCAUGCCCACCCUCAGUGGUCAGGGCUGCCGUGGGCCCCGCCAGGACCUCGAGUACUGCCCCAGCCCAGACUGCCCUGGGGCUGAAGGGUCCACGGUGGAGCCAGUAACAGGCCUUCCAGGUGGCUGGGGCCCAUGGUCCUCCUGGUCCCCCUGCUCCAGAAGCUGCACGGACCCCGCUCGCCCUGCAUGGCGCAGCCGCACCCGCCUCUGCCUGGCUAACUGCACCAUGGGGGACCCAUUACAGGAGCGCCCCUGCAACCUGCCCUCAUGCACAGAGCUGCCCGUGUGCCCUGGCCCUGGCUGUGGGGCUGGGAACUGUUCCUGGACCUCCUGGGCCCCGUGGGAACCUUGCUCCCGCAGCUGCGGAGUGGGCCAGCAGCGCCGCCUGCGGGCAUACCGUCCCCCUGGGCCCGGCGGGCACUGGUGCCCCAACAUCCUUACUGCCUACCAAGAGCGCCGCUUCUGCAACCUGCGAGCCUGCCCAGUGCCCGGGGGCUGGUCACGCUGGAGUCCCUGGUCCUGGUGUGACCGCAGCUGUGGGGGAGGCCAAUCCCUGAGAAGCCGCAGCUGCUCAAGCCCCCCAUCCAAGAACGGGGGAGCCCCCUGUGCUGGGGAGCGGCACCAGGCCCGCCUCUGCAAUCCCAUGCCUUGUGAGGCCGGCUGCCCAGCAGGCAUGGAGGUGGUCACCUGUGCCAACCGCUGCCCCCGCCGCUGCUCAGACCUCCAGGAGGGAAUUGUGUGUCAGGACGACCAGGUCUGCCAGAAGGGCUGCCGCUGCCCAAAGGGGUCCCUGGAGCAGGAUGGUGGCUGCGUGCCAAUUGGGCACUGUGACUGCACCGAUGCCCAGGGCCACAGCUGGGCCCCGGGGAGCCAGCACCAGGAUGCCUGCAACAACUGCUCAUGCCAAGCUGGGCAGCUCUCCUGCACGGCUCAGCCCUGCCCGCCUCCCACCCACUGUGCCUGGAGCCACUGGUCGGCCUGGAGUCCCUGCAGCCACUCAUGCGGGCCCAGAGGGCAGCAGAGCCGCUUCCGGUCCUCCACGUCGGGCUCGUGGGCCCCAGAGUGUCGGGAGGAGCAGUCCCAGAGCCAGCCCUGCCCUCAGCCCUCGUGCCCACCCCUGUGCCUGCAGGGCACUCGCUCCCGCACCCUGGGGGACAGCUGGCUGCAGGGGGAGUGCCAGCGGUGCUCCUGCACCCCGGAGGGUGUGAUCUGCGAAGAUACGGAGUGUGCAGUGCCUGAGGCUUGGACGCUGUGGUCCUCCUGGUCCGACUGCCCUGUCUCCUGUGGAGGUGGAAACCAGGUCCGAACCCGGGCCUGCAGGGCCGCAGCCCCUCACCACAGGAGCCCACCCUGCCUGGGCCCUGACACCCAGACCAGGCAGCAGCCUUGCCCAGGGCUGCUGGAGGCCUGCUCCUGGGGCCCGUGGGGGCCCUGUUCCCGCAGCUGCGGCCCGGGCCUGGCCUCUCGCUCUGGGUCCUGCCCCUGCCUGAUGGCCAAGGCCGACCCCACCUGCAACAGCACCUUCCUCCACCUGGACACCCAGGGCUGCUACUCAGGGCCCUGCCCAGAGGAGUGUGUGUGGAGCAGCUGGAGCAGCUGGACGCGCUGCUCUUGCCGGGUGCUGGUGCAGCAGCGCUACCGACACCAGGGCCCGGCGUCCCGAGGGGCCAGGGCAGGCGCCCCCUGCACGCGGCUGGAUGGCCACUUCCGGCCUUGCCUUAUCAGCAACUGCUCUGAGGACAGCUGCACGCCUCCCUUUGAGUUCCAUGCCUGCGGCUCCCCCUGUGCUGGGCUCUGUGCCACACACCUGAGCCAUCAGCUCUGCCAGGACCUGCCACCCUGCCAGCCGGGCUGCUACUGCCCCAAGGGGCUGCUGGAGCAGGCUGGGGGCUGCAUUCCCCCAGAGGAGUGUAACUGCUGGCAUACCUCAGCAGCAGGAGCCGGGAUGACCCUGGCCCCUGGGGACCGCCUGCAGCUGGGCUGUAAGGAGUGUGAAUGCCGGCGUGGGGAGCUGCACUGCACCAGCCAGGGCUGUCAAGGUCUUCUGCCUCUGAGUGAGUGGUCCGAGUGGUCGCCCUGUGGGCCCUGCCUGCCGCCCAGCGCCCUGGCCCCUGCCUCCAGGACUGCCCUAGAGGAGCACUGGCUCCGAGACCCAACUGGCCUCUCCCCCACCUUGGCCCCGCUGCUGGCUUCAGAGCAGCACCGCCACCGGCUCUGUCUGGAUCCUGCGACAGGGAGGCCCUGGACUGGAGCCCCUCACCUCUGCACCGCACCCCUCAGCCAGCAGCGCCUCUGCCCUGACCCUGGAGCCUGCCCUGACUCAUGCCAGUGGAGUCUGUGGGGGCCAUGGAGCCCCUGCCAGGUGCCCUGCAGUGGGGGGUUCAGGCUACGCUGGAGAGAGGCAGAGGCCCUCUGUGGAGGAGGCUGCCGGGAGCCAUGGGCUCAAGACAGAAAGCUGCAACGGAGGGCCCUGCCCAGGUUAGAGCUGCGAGGCCCAAGACACUGUAUUCACCCUGGACUGUGCCAACCAGUGCCCACACAGCUGUGCCGACCUCUGGGACCGCGUUCAGUGUCUGCAGGGACCCUGCCGCCCAGGCUGCCGCUGUCCCCCUGGCCAGCUGGUCCAGGAUGGGCGCUGUGUGCCGAUCUCCUCUUGCCGCUGUGGCCUCCCCAGUGCCAAUGCCUCUUGGGAGCUGGCCCCGGCCCAGGCGGUGCAGCUGGACUGCCAAAACUGCACCUGUGUCAACGAGUCCCUGGUGUGCCCACACCAGGAGUGUCCAGUCCUUGGGCCUUGGUCAGCCUGGAGCAGUUGCUCGGCCCCCUGUGGUGGGGGCACUAUGGAGCGACAUCGGACUUGUGAGGGGGGUCCUGGGGUGGCACCAUGCCAGGCCCAGGACACAGAGCAACGGCAGGAGUGUAACCUGCAGCCCUGCCCUGAGUGCCCCCCUGGCCAGGUGCUUAGUGCCUGUGCCACCUCAUGCCCGUGCCUCUGCUGGCAUCUGCAGCCUGGUGCCAUCUGUGUGCAGGAGCCCUGCCAGCCUGGCUGUGGCUGCCCUGGAGGGCAGCUGCUGCACAAUGGCACGUGUGUGCCUCCCACUGCCUGCCCCUGCACCCAGCAUUCUCUGCCCUGGGGCCUCACCCUGACCCUGGAAGAGCAGGCCCAGGAGCUGCCCCCAGGGACUGUGCUCACCCGGAACUGCACCCGCUGUGUCUGCCACGGUGGAGCCUUCAGCUGCUCCCUCGUUGACUGUCAGGAGUGCCCCCUGGGGAAACGUGGCAGCAGGUGGCCCCGGGGGAGCUGGGGCUCUGCGAGCAGACGUGCCUGGAGAUGAACGCCACAAAGACCCAGAGUAACUGCAGUUCAGCUCGAGCCUCGGGCUGCGUGUGCCAGCCCGGGCACUUCCGCAGCCAGGCAGGCCCCUGCGUCCCCGAAGACCACUGCGAGUGCUGGCACCUUGGGCGUCCCCACCUGCCUGGAUCUGAAUGGCAGGAGGCCUGUGAGAGCUGCCUCUGCCUCAGUGGGAGGCCUGUCUGCACCCAGCACUGCUCCCCACUCACCUGUGCUCAGGGCGAGGAGAUGGUGCUGGAGCCAGGGAGCUGCUGUCCCUCUUGCCGCAGGGAGGCUCCGGAGGAGCAGUCGCCCUCCUGCCAGCUCCUCACGGAGCUUCGAAACUUCACCAAAGGGACCUGUUACCUGGACCAGGUAGAAGUGAGCUACUGCAGUGGGUACUGCCCAUCCAGCACCCAUGUCAUGCCAGAGGAGCCAUACCUGCAGAGCCAGUGUGACUGCUGCAGCUACCGUCUAGACCCGGAGAGCCCUGUGCGGAUCCUGAACCUGCGCUGUCUGGGUGGCCACACAGAGCCCGUGGUGCUGCCGGUCAUCCACAGCUGCCAGUGCAGCUCCUGCCAGGGAGGUGACUUCUCAAAGCGCUAACAGGCUCCGCUGGGUGAGUCCACAGCUGUCCCUCUUGUGAUCAUGGGACUCAGCAGCACUGACCACGUCCUUCCACGCUCUCUCACCUGCCCCCAACUGGGGGCCCAUGACUUGGCAUUAGCAUGUUCCAAAUAAA